UCAAGAAACUUCCACAAUGGGCGAAAGCCUGAUGGAGCGACGUCGCGUGAUGGACGAAGUGCUUCGGCACGUAAACAUCUUUUAUGUGGGAUGAAAUUAUUGACAGUACCACAUGAAUAAGGGGCUCCUAACUCUGUGCCAGCAGGAGCGGUAAUACAGAGGCCCCAAGCGUUAUCCGGAAUCACUGGGCGUAAAGGGUGUCGAGGCGGUUGUAUUAGUCGUUCGUAAAAUCUACGAGCUUAGCUUGUAGGCGGCGAACGAAACGGUACGACUUGAGGUUUGGAGAGGUGCGUGGAACUCACGGUGUAGGGGUGAAAUCCGUUGAUAUCGUGGGGAACACCAAAGGCGAAGGCAGCGCACUGGCCAAAAUCUGACGCUCACACACGAAAGCUAGGGUAGCGAAGAGGAUUAGAUACCCGGGUAGUCCCUGAGCGGGCUGGCAAGGCGCAU
rnacentral:rRNA from 1 species